ACUUGAGGAGGUGUUGAGUAUUGGACCCUGCCUCCAUGUGUCCUUCUCUUGUCUUGCCCUUUGUCCUGGUCUCCAUUCAGACAAUGAAGUUAGUUGUUGGUGUGUUUGCGCUCAGAACUGGAAGAGUCCUAUAGAUUAGAAGGUUUUUCUGCUGAAGAGGGCCGAACAUUGUGCAUAACAGGGCAAAAGGCUUUAAUUGUGAAACAACACAAAUCCUAGGAAUGAGACACCUUCCGCAAGAGUACAUCAUUAUAACAGAGGAUCCUGUUGGGGAAGCCCUUUCUGCAGAUCCUGAUGCCUUCCAGCACACCAUUACAGCGCAGCUGGUGCAUCACCAGAGGAUUCUCCAUGGCCCCAGGAGUCUUGGUCUCAUUGGGGAUGAUGCAGCGUACAAAGUGAGGACUGUGGACCUCUGUGUGGACUCAAAUCCUUUGCACUGUUUGCUUCCUGAUGAGGCAAUGACCAGGACAUGGAGAAAUAAUGGAAAGGUCUCUCUUGGAGGACUUUACCCCUGAAUACAUCAAGUCUAGAUUAUCUGCUGUCAGUCAGAAAUCUUUGUCAAGUCUGUCUCUUUUCUGUGUUCCAAAUGGCCCUCCCUUGUCUGGCUUUGAAAAGAAGAUGCUUGUUACUAGAGAAAGACUGACCUCCACUACUGAUAUGAAGGGAACAUCCCAACAACCCACCAGGAGGAGCAUGUUUUGAAAAUAUAAGUGAAAAUACAACUGAGCCUGUUCAGUUGCUUCAUGAACCAACUCGGUUUUAUGUGUACUUUGUUUUGGUAUUACAGUAAAAUCUAUAUUUUAUUGAA